GGAAGGGUGGCAGAGUGGUCGAUUGCACUGGUCUUGAAAACCAGCGACGGGAGACCGUCCGUGGGUUCGAAUCCCACCCCUUCCG
rnacentral:tRNA from 1 species